rnacentral:rRNA from 1 species
GCAACCCUGAUCCAGCAAUGCCGCGUUUGUGAUGAAGGCCUUAGGUUUGUAAAGCACUUUCACUGGUGAAGAUGAUGACGGUAACCAGAGAAGAAGCCCCGGCUAACUUCGUGCCAGCAGCCGCGGUAAUACGAAGGGGGCGAGCGUUGUUCGGAAUUACUGGGCGUAAAGGGCGCGUAGGCGGUCUUUUAAGUUAGGCGUGAAAGCCCCGGGCUCAACCCGCUAACUGCGCUUAAUACUGGAAGACUAGAAAACGGAAGAGGGUAGUGGAAUUCCCAGUGUAAUAGUGAAAUUGAUAGAUAUCGGGAAUAACACCAGUGGCGAAAGCAACGGUCUGGCACUUGGUUGACCCUCAAGUGCGAAGGGGCGGGAAUCCAAUCGGAUUAGAUACCCUAGUAGCCCGUACCUUAAACGAUGCCCUCUAUACCUUGUUCCUCCCCUACCUAAAUUUGUUCCCGUUAAUGCGUCCAGUGGGCCGCCUGGGGAGUACGGCCGCAAGGCUAAAACUCCUAGGAAUUGACGGGGCCCCCCACAAGCGGU